rnacentral:lncRNA from 1 species
CGCACAUGCAGCAUUUGGAAGUUCCCAGGUUAGGGGUCCAAACAGGAGCUGCAGCUGCCGACCUACACCACAGCCACAACAACACCAGAUCCAAGUCAUGUCUGUGACCUACACGACAGCUCAUGGCAACGCCACAUCCUCAACCCACUGGUGGAGGCCAGGAAUCAAAUCCUCAUCGUCAUACUACUUGGGUUGGUUACCACUGAGCCACAAGGAGAACCCUCUUUCUUUUUUAACAGCCACACUCAUGGCACAUGGAAGUUCCCAGGUCAGGGACUGAAUCCAAGCCACAGCUGCGACCUAUGCAACAGGCACGGCAUCCUUAACCCACUGUGUCGGGCUGGGGAUCAAACGCACACAUCACAGCAUCCAGAGCUGCUGCAGUCAGACUCUUAACACCACGUGCCACAGCGGAAACUCUAUUUCUUACCCACUUCCUCCUUUACAAAGUAGAAGCCAAACACCCAAGGUGAAAUCAAUGAGCACCAUUCCUAUGCUAUAGCAACAGAAACGAAUAGUCGUAAGAAAUACGUUUGUGUUCUCGAAGUGCUCUAAUGGAAUGAAUUCUCUCCUCUUUUUUUCUUGCCGUCAGUAUACUGUUUUCAUCUCACAUGAACUGGUAAUUAUUGUAUGCAGCGUUUUCCCAUCAGGAGCACUUAGUAAUUUUCAAAAACACUGCUCUGAUCCCAUCACUUCCCCACCCCUAAACAUUUCACAGUUUAUCUGAUGAAGUCCAAGCCAUUUAGCCAUUGCUUAAUUUGGCCAGAUCGCCUCCCACGACAGAGCUCUGCUCUGGAAAAAGGAUUUACGUGCACCUUCUCUAGCCCUGCACCUUCUGCAAGUGUCGCCACCCCAGGAAGCCUCAGACCACUGACAACCAGACUGAAUUUCCUCCCUCAUCUGAAUGUCUAUAGCCCCAACUCCUCCUGUCCUAAACCACCUUGAGUGAGCUCCUCUCUGCCCACUAGAUCACUCAGCACUACAAAGUGUCGAGCUGUCUUUGCCUCAUGGACACGACAGCUGAACAGCUCAGAGCUAAAUGCACCUCUUGCUUCCUAUAGGUACAGGACCGUGUGACAGACACUUCCUACCAUUCCUCCAGCCCCAGUUCCAGUCCCCUGUUCUGACCCUUAUCUCCUCUCAGACACAUGUGCUUCUCUGACUUGUAACUCAUUUAAUUUCACCACGUGCAUGUAUCCCUUGGAGGAGCUGGCAAGAGGGGGAGUUCCCUGGUGGCUCCAUGAGUUAAGGAUCCAGUUCCGCCACUGCACUGGUUGCUGCUGUGGUGUGGGUCUGAUCCCUGGCCAGGGAACAUCCACAUGCUGCAGGUAGGGCCAAAAAAAAAACACCAAAAAAAUGGGAGUUCCCUUUGUGGCUCAGAGGGUUAAGAACCCGACUGGUAUCAAACUCGGUAUGCUUGUUUGAUCCUUAGCCUUGCUCAGUGGGUUAAGGAUCUGACGUUGUCACAAGCUGCAGUGUAGGUCACAGAUGCAGCUUGGAUCUGGCGUUGCUAUGGCUGUGGCUCCGUUCAACUCCUAGCCUGGGAACUUCCAUAAGCCAUCAGUGUAGCCCCAAAAAGACAAAACGAAACAAAACAAAACAAACAACAAAAAAAAAGCAAAACCACAAGCUGGCAAAAAAGGUCUUAACAGGCUGACAUUUGUCGUUAUAUAAAGAUGUGUCAGAAAUAAGCAAGCACAAAUGCUGAGAUUCUGAAGGCCACCACUGCUGUGACCAACCACGACUCAUAAGCUACUCAACCCUGGGUGCAAUAACCAACACUGAGGCCCUGAUCUGACCCAAAUUCAGAGGUUUCUCAUUCUUUAAGAUAUUUUCAGAAAAACUGUAAGACUGUCCAU